AUGUACCACGUACGCUCCGGUUCCUCCGCGCCAUCCGCACCCACCCGACGACUGCUCGCUACGUUUUGUUAGCC
rnacentral:sRNA from 1 species